UGUCAAGCAUGGCGGCGGAUCGGCAACGAAAGUGAGUGGUUCGAGGGUGUUGGCUUCUGGUUACGCUCGCCAAAGAAAUGCAGUGCACUCAGUGCUAAAUUUCAAAGACAGCAUGUAGUCGAUAAUUGUUCCGCUGAUAUGUCUUAUCAUUGUUGGUGUAUGUAUUAACAAUCAAUAAGUAGCUGGAUGUGAUGUGCUUCCUCAUCGUUAUAAUUUCUUAAUUUCAAAUAGAAAAAUUUCUACAAAAUUUUAACGGACUAGUUUGAAGAAUGUGCUAGCAGUUUCUUUUUUAUCUAUAUUCUGUGUAGUUGUUGAAUAUGAAAUUUGAACUAAAUUGUUUUUAUAAAAGUUAAUGAAAAACA